rnacentral:rRNA from 1 species
GACGUAGGGCGCGAGCGUUGUCCGGAUUUAUUGGGCGUAAAGAGCUCGUAGGCGGUUUGUCGCGUCGGCCGUGAAAACUUGGGGCUUAACCCCAAGCCUGCGGUCGAUACGGGCAGACUUGAGUUCGGCAGGGGAGACUGGAAUUCCUGGUGUAGCGGUGAAAUGCGCAGAUAUCGGAAGGAACACCGGUGGCGAAAGCGGCGCGCUGGACCUCUUCUGACGCUGAGGCGCGAAAGCCAGGGGAGCAACGGGG